rnacentral:rRNA from 1 species
CGGACGACGCUGGCGGCGUGGAUUAGGCAUGCAAGUCGAACGGUAUCAUCCUUUCGGGGGUGAGAGAGUGGCGAACUGGUGAGUAACACGUAGGUUAUCUACCCUCAAGACGGGGACAACCCAGGGAAACUUGGGCUAAUACCGGAUGUGAGCAACUUUUAGUUGUUUGAAAGGUGGCGUAAGCUGUCGCUUGGGGAUGAGCCUGCGUCCUAUUAGUUAGUUGGUGAGGUAACGGCUCACCUAGGCAAUGAUAGGUAGGCGGCCUUAACGGGUGGUCGCCCACACUGGGAUUGAGAUACGGCCCAGACUCCUACGGGAGGCAGCAGUCGAGAAUAGUCUACAAUGGUCGGAAGACUGAUAGUGCGACGCCGCGUGAACGAUGAAUCCCUUCGGGGUGUAAACCUCUGUCUGGAGGGACGAGAAUGGACGGUACCUCCGGAGGAAGCCCCGGCUAACUACGUG